GAUGAACGCUGGCGGCGUGCUUAACACAUGCAAGUCGAACGGAAAGGCCCAAGCUUGCUUGGGUACUCGAGUGGCGAACGGGUGAGUAACACGUGGGUGAUCUGCCCUGCACUUCGGGAUAAGCCUGGGAAACUGGGUCUAAUACCGGAUAGGACGAUGGUUUGGAUGCCAUUGUGGAAAGUUUUUUCGGUGUGGGAUGGGCUCGCGGCCUAUCAGCUUGUUGGUGGGGUAAUGGCCUACCAAGGCGUCGACGGGUAGCCGGCCUGAGAGGGUGUACGGCCACAUUGGGACUGAGAUACGGCCCAGACUCCUACGGGAGGCAGCAAUGGGGAAUAUUGCACAAUGGGCGCAAGCCUGAUGCAGCGACGCCUCGUGGGGGAUGACGGCCUUCUGGUUGUAAACUCCUUUCGCUAGGGACGAAGCGUUUUUGUGACGGUACCUGGAGAAGAAGCACCGGCUAACUACGUG
rnacentral:rRNA from 1 species